CGCGGGGUAGAGCAUCGGUAGCUCGCAAGGCUCAUAACCUUGAGGCAGUAGGUUCAAUUCCUACCCCCGCAA
rnacentral:tRNA from 1 species